GAUGAACGCUGGCGGCGUGCCUAAUACAUGCAAGUCGAGCGAACGGACGAGAAGCUUGCUUCUCUGAUGUUAGCGGCGGACGGGUGAGUAACACGUGGAUAACCUACCUAUAAGACUGGGAUAACUUCGGGAAACCGGAGCUAAUACCGGAUAAUAUUUUGAACCGCAUGGUUCAAAAGUGAAAGACGGUCUUGCUGUCACUUAUAGAUGGAUCCGCGCUGCAUUAGCUAGUUGGUAAGGUAACGGCUUACCAAGGCAACGAUGCAUAGCCGACCUGAGAGGGUGAUCAGCCACACUGGAACUGAGACACGGUCCAGACUCCUACGGGAGGCAGCAGUAGGGAAUAUUCCGCAAUGGGCGAAAGCCUGAUGGAGCAACGCCGCGUGAGUGAUGAAGGUCUUCGGAUCGUAAAACUCUGUUAUUAGGGAAGAACAUAUGUGUAAGUAACUGUGCACAUCUUGACGGUACCUAAUCAGAAAGCCACGGCUAACUACGUG
rnacentral:rRNA from 1 species